UUUUUAUUAUAUUGGUGUAUAUCUGGUUUAAUAUUAUUGUUGAGUAACAGAAGUUGUGUAAUAUUAUUUAAGCCAAGUCUAUGUGCUGUUUAUAAAAGUAUUCAUGCGUUACAUUAAUAAAUGUUAGAUUGUGAUAUUUGAUAAUUUAGGACUUAAAAGUAAUGUUUAAUAAGUUAGUAAACGUGAAAAGAGUUUAGCUUGGGUACACACCGCCCGUCAA
rnacentral:rRNA from 1 species